rnacentral:tRNA from 1 species
UCCAGGGUAGCCUAGUGGACAUGGCAUCUGCCCGGUAAGCGGGGCAUUGUGGGUUCGAUUCCCAUCCCUGGAC